UCUAAAAGCUUUUCAAACUGGGAUUAGAUACCCCACUAUGCUUAGCCCUAAACCUAAAUAAUUCAAUAACAAAAAUAUUUGCCUGAGAACUACUGGCCACAGCUUAAAACUCAAAGGACUUGGCGGUACUUUAUAUCCAUCUAGAGGAGCCUGUUCUAUAAUCGAUAAACCCCGUUAUACCUUACCACCCCUUGCUAAUACAGCCUAUAUACCGCCAUCUUCAGCAAACCCUAAAAGGGAGGAAAAGUAAGCAAGAGAAUCACCAUAAAAACGUUAGGUCAAGGUGUAGCCAAUGAGGUGGGAAGCAAUGGGCUACAUUUUCUUAUAAAGAACAUUACGCUACCCUUCAUGAAACUGAAGGACAAAGGAGGAUUUAGUAGUAAAUUAAGAAUAGAGAGCUUAAUGAAUAGAGCAAUAAGACUUGU
rnacentral:rRNA from 1 species